rnacentral:rRNA from 1 species
UACGUAGGGGGCGAGCGUUGUCCGGAGUUACUGGGCGUAAAGCGCUUGUAGGCGGUCCACCAAGUUUGGGGUGACAGUUGCCGACUUAAUCGGCAAAGUGCCUCAAAGACUGGCGGACUUGAGGGCCACAGAGGGACAUGGAACUCCAGGUGUAGUGGUGAAAUGCGUAGGUAUCUGGAAGAACACCAAAGGCGAAGGCAGUGUCCUGGGUGGUCGCUGACGCUGAGAGGCGAAAGCCAGGGGAGCGAACGGG